rnacentral:tRNA from 1 species
GCUCAGUCAGUUAAGCGUCUGACUCUUGAUUUCAGCUCAGGUCAUGAUCUCACAGUUUGUGGGUUUGAGUCCCACAUUGGGCU